rnacentral:misc_RNA from 1 species
AGUGGUGUUUGGUUUGUUACGGGUGGUUGGCUCUUUGCUUGCGCAACAACUUCCACCUGGCUUACCUCUUCAGUUUGCGUCGAUGCUUGUAUUGCAUUGAAUUCAAAGUGGGUUUCUUGUGUUGCAUACCAAAUUGAUGGUAUCGUUUGAUGAAUUGAUGUCCUUUUUUUUGUCUUGUGUUGCACAUGCGAUGUGAGAUGAACCUUGAAGCACUCUUUGUGAUCCACUCUUUUGAUGCACAUGCAUUGAUGGUGUGGCUCAUUAAGUGUUGCUUGGUAUCAUGGAUAUAGAAGUUGGUGUGGGCAUGGGUUCUUACUAGUUCCUUGUUUGCCUUGCUUUAGCUUCUCCAAUACGAUUGACUAUCACGUAUGGCACGUCUCAGCGUGGUAGUCUAAUUCGAA